GAGGACGGGAGGGCGGGGCCACGGAGAGCAGCGAGUGGGAGGAGCUAAUCCGGCCUGUGGUGGGGGCUACGGCCCAGAAUUCUGACUGCUUCGUGGGCUGGAUGCCAAAAGUCUAAAGCUUUCCAGAAGUGUCCCUGUGCAGAAGUCCAUCUGGUAAGCUGGAAGCAGUACCCAGAGACCUGAAGCAGCCACAUGGGAAUGGAGACAGAGGAAGCCCUGGCCUAUACCUGGACUUCAGCCUCAUAAGAACCUCUGUUGGAUUUCUGGCACAAAUAAACUGUGAUAUGACAAAAUUUA